rnacentral:rRNA from 2 species
UGACCUCAAAUCGGGUGAGACUACCCGCUGAACUUAAGCAUAUCAU